GAUUAUCUUUGUCCAUAUUUGAGAGGCAUGUUUAAUAAUCAUUUUGGCUAAAAUGAAAUGUUUGAAAUCAUUUUUCUUUAAAUUAAAUAUGCAUGAUUUGAUAGAAAUGAUUUUACAAGAGAAGCCAAGUCUUGAGUUAAUUGUCGGAUCAAGAUCACAAUUAAAGAACGACUCAUGUAUAACUUUAUUUCUUUGCUUGAUCAUGAUCUUUGUUC
rnacentral:lncRNA from 1 species